GACGAACGCUGGCGGCGUGCUUAACACAUGCAAGUCGAACGAAGUGGCGAACGGGUGAGUAACGCGUAAUCAACCUGCCCUUCAGAGGGGGACAACAGUUGGAAACGACUGCUAAUACCGCAUACUGAAGGAGGGGAUUGCGUCUGAUUAGCUAGUUGGGGGGGUAACGGCCGACCAAGGCGAUGAUCAGUAGCCGGUCUGAGAGUAGGGUGGGCCACAUUUGGGCUGGGACACGGCCCAGAGUCCUACGGGAGGCAGCAGUGGGGAAUCUUCCGCAAUGGACGAAAGUCUGACGGAGCAACGCCGCGUGGGUGAUGACGGCCUUCGUGUGGUAAAGCUCUGUUUAUCGGGACGCGGUACCGGAAUAGAAAGCCACGGCUAACUACGUGCCAGCAGCCGCGGUAAUUC
rnacentral:rRNA from 1 species